GACGAACGCUGGCGGCGUGCUUAACACAUGCAAGUCGAACGGAAAGGCCCUGCUUUUGUGGGGUGCUCGAGUGGCGAACGGGUGAGUAACACGUGAGUAACCUGUCCUUGACUUUGGGAUAACUUCAGGAAACUGGGGCUAAUAUCGGAUAGGAGCUCCUGCUGCAUGGUGGGGGUUGGAAAGUUUCGGCGGUUGGGGAUGGACUCGCGGCUUAUCAGCUUGUUGGUGGGGUAGUGGCUGACCAAGGCUUUGACGGGUAGCCGGCCUGAGAGGGUGACCGGCGACAUUGGGACUGAGAUACGGCCCAGACGCCUACGGGAGGCAGCGGUGGGGAGUAUGGCACAAUGGGCGGAAGCCAGAUGCAGCGACGCCGCGUGCGGGAUGACGGCCUUCGGGUUGUAAACCGCUUUCGCCUGUGACGAAGCGUGAGUGACGGUAAUGGGUAAAGAAGCACCGGCUAACUACGUG
rnacentral:rRNA from 1 species